CCUACGGAGGCAGCAGUGGGGAAUAUUGGACAAUGGGCGAAAGCCUGAUCCAGCCAUGCCGCGUGUGUGAAGAAGGCCUUCGGGUUGUAAAGCACUUUCAGUGGGGAAGAAAGCCUUGGGGCUAAUACCCUCGAGGAAGGACAUCACCCACAGAAGAAGCACCGGCUAACUCCGUGCCAGCAGCCGCGGUAAUACGGAGGGUGCGAGCGUUAAUCGGAAUUACUGGGCGUAAAGCGCGCGUAGGCGGUCUGAUAAGCCGGUUGUGAAAGCCCCGGGCUCAACCUGGGAACGGCAUCCGGAACUGUCAGGCUAGAGUGCAGGAGAGGAAGGUAGAAUUCCCGGUGUAGCGGUGAAAUGCGUAGAGAUCGGGAGGAAUACCAGUGGCGAAGGCGGCCUUCUGGACUGACACUGACGCUGAGGUGCGAAAGCGUGGGUAGCAAACAGGAUUAGAUACCCUUGUAGUC
rnacentral:rRNA from 1 species